rnacentral:rRNA from 1 species
GGGUUGUGAGGUUAAGCGACUAAGCGUACACGGUGGAUGCCCUGGCAGUCAGAGGCGAUGAAGGACGUGCUAAUCUGCGAUAAGCGUCGGUAAGGUGAUAUGAACCGUUAUAACCGGCGAUUUCCGAAUGGGGAAACCCAGUGUGUUUCGACACACUAUCAUUAACUGAAUCCAUAGGUUAAUGAGGCGAACCGGGGGAACUGAAACAUCUAAGUACCCCGAGGAAAAGAAAUCAACCGAGAUUCCCCCAGUAGCGGCGAGCGAACGGGGAGGAGCCCAGAGCCUGAAUCAGUGUGUGUGUUAGUGGAAGCGUCUGGAAAGGCGCGCGAUACAGGGUGACAGCCCCGUACACAAAAAUGCACAUACUGUGAGCUCGAUGAGUAGGGCGGGACACGUGGUAUCCUGUCUGAAUAUGGGGGGACCAUCCUCCAAGGCUAAAUACUCCUGACUGACCGAUAGUGAACCAGUACCGUGAGGGAAAGGCGAAAAGAACCCCGGCGAGGGGAGUGAAAAAGAACCUGAAACCGUGUACGUACAAGCAGUGGGAGCCUCUUUUAUGGGUGACUGCGUACCUUUUGUAUAAUGGGUCAGCGACUUAUAUUCUGUAGCAAGGUUAACCGAAUAGGGGAGCCGAAGGGAAACCGAGUCUUAACUGGGCGUUAAGUUGCAGGGUAUAGACCCGAAACCCGGUGAUCUAGCCAUGGGCAGGUUGAAGGUUGGGUAACACUAACUGGAGGACCGAACCGACUAAUGUUGAAAAAUUAGCGGAUGACUUGUGGCUGGGGGUGAAAGGCCAAUCAAACCGGGAGAUAGCUGGUUCUCCCCGAAAGCUAUUUAGGUAGCGCCUCGUGAAUUCAUCUCCGGGGGUAGAGCACUGUUUCGGCAAGGGGUCAUCCCGACUUACCAACCCGAUGCAAACUGCGAAUACCGGAGAAUGUUAUCACGGGAGACACACGGCGGGUGCUAACGUCCGUCGUGAAGAGGGAAACAACCCAGACCGCCAGCUAAGGUCCCAAAGUCAUGGUUAAGUGGGAAACGAUGUGGGAAGGCCCAGACAGCCAGGAUGUUGGCUUAGAAGCAGCCAUCAUUUAAAGAAAGCGUAAUAGCUCACUGGUCGAGUCGGCCUGCGCGGAAGAUGUAACGGGGCUAAACCAUGCACCGAAGCUGCGGCAGCGACGCUUAUGCGUUGUUGGGUAGGGGAGCGUUCUGUAAGCCUGUGAAGGUGUACUGUGAGGUAUGCUGGAGGUAUCAGAAGUGCGAAUGCUGACAUAAGUAACGAUAAAGCGGGUGAAAAGCCCGCUCGCCGGAAGACCAAGGGUUCCUGUCCAACGUUAAUCGGGGCAGGGUGAGUCGACCCCUAAGGCGAGGCCGAAAGGCGUAGUCGAUGGGAAACAGGUUAAUAUUCCUGUACUUGGUGUUACUGCGAAGGGGGGACGGAGAAGGCUAUGUUGGCCGGGCGACGGUUGUCCCGGUUUAAGCGUGUAGGCUGGUUUUCCAGGCAAAUCCGGAAAAUCAAGGCUGAGGCGUGAUGACGAGGCACUACGGUGCUGAAGCAACAAAUGCCCUGCUUCCAGGAAAAGCCUCUAAGCAUCAGGUAACAUCAAAUCGUACCCCAAACCGACACAGGUGGUCAGGUAGAGAAUACCAAGGCGCUUGAGAGAACUCGGGUGAAGGAACUAGGCAAAAUGGUGCCGUAACUUCGGGAGAAGGCACGCUGAUAUGUAGGUGAAGCGACUUGCUCGUGGAGCUGAAAUCAGUCGAAGAUACCAGCUGGCUGCAACUGUUUAUUAAAAACACAGCACUGUGCAAACACGAAAGUGGACGUAUACGGUGUGACGCCUGCCCGGUGCCGGAAGGUUAAUUGAUGGGGUUAGCGGUAACGCGAAGCUCUUGAUCGAAGCCCCGGUAAACGGCGGCCGUAACUAUAACGGUCCUAAGGUAGCGAAAUUCCUUGUCGGGUAAGUUCCGACCUGCACGAAUGGCGUAAUGAUGGCCAGGCUGUCUCCACCCGAGACUCAGUGAAAUUGAACUCGCUGUGAAGAUGCAGUGUACCCGCGGCAAGACGGAAAGACCCCGUGAACCUUUACUAUAGCUUGACACUGAACAUUGAGCCUUGAUGUGUAGGAUAGGUGGGAGGCUUUGAAGUGUGGACGCCAGUCUGCAUGGAGCCGGCCUUGAAAUACCACCCUUUAAUGUUUGAUGUUCUAACGUUGGCCCCUGAUCGGGGUUGCGGACAGUGUCUGGUGGGUAGUUUGACUGGGGCGGUCUCCUCCUAAAGAGUAACGGAGGAGCACGAAGGUUGGCUAAUCCUGGUCGGACAUCAGGAGGUUAGUGCAAUGGCAUAAGCCAGCUUGACUGCGAGCGUGACGGCGCGAGCAGGUGCGAAAGCAGGUCAUAGUGAUCCGGUGGUUCUGAAUGGAAGGGCCAUCGCUCAACGGAUAAAAGGUACUCCGGGGAUAACAGGCUGAUACCGCCCAAGAGUUCAUAUCGACGGCGGUGUUUGGCACCUCGAUGUCGGCUCAUCACAUCCUGGGGCUGAAGUAGGUCCCAAGGGUAUGGCUGUUCGCCAUUUAAAGUGGUACGCGAGCUGGGUUUAGAACGUCGUGAGACAGUUCGGUCCCUAUCUGCCGUGGGCGCUGGAGAACUGAGGGGGGCUGCUCCUAGUACGAGAGGACCGGAGUGGACGCAUCACUGGUGUUCGGGUUGUCAUGCCAAUGGCACUGCCCGGUAGCUAAAUGCGGAAGAGAUAAGUGCUGAAAGCAUCUAAGCACGAAACUUGCCCCGAGAUGAGUUCUCCCUGAGACUUUAAGUCUCCUGAAGGAACGUUGAAGACGACGACGUUGAUAGGCCGGGUGUGUAAGCGCAGCGAUGCGUUGAGCUAACCGGUACUAAUGAACCGUGAGGCUUAACCUUACAACGCCGAAGGUGUUU